rnacentral:rRNA from 1 species
UACGGAGGGUGCGAGCGUUGUCCGGAAUCACUGGGCGUAAAGCGCGCGUAGGCGGCUUUGUAAGUCAGAGGUGAAAGCCUGGAGCUCAACUCCAGAACUGCCUUUGAGACUGCAUCGCUAGAAUCAUGGAGAGGUUAGUGGAAUUCCGAGUGUAGAGGUGAAAUUCGUAGAUAUUCGGAAGAACACCAGUGGCGGAAGGCGACUCACUGGACACGUAUUGACGCUGAGGUGCGAAAGCGUGGGGAGCAAACAGG